rnacentral:rRNA from 1 species
AGCGAACGCUGGCGGCAGGCUUAACACAUGCAAGUCGAGCGGGCAUAGCAAUAUGUCAGCGGCAGACGGGUGAGUAACGCGUGGGAACGUACCUUUUGGUUCGGAACAACACAGGGAAACUUGUGCUAAUACCGGAUAAGCCCUUAUGGGGAAAGAUUUAUCGCCGAAAGAUCGGCCCGCGUCUGAUUAGCUAGCUGGUGAGGUAAUGGCUCACCAAGGCGACGAUCAGUAGCUGGUCUGAGAGGAUGAUCAGCCACAUUGGGACUGAGACACGGCCCAAACUCCUACGGGAGGCAGCAGUGGGGAAUAUUGGACAAUGGGCGCAAGCCUGAUCCAGCCAUGCCGCGUGAGUGAUGAAGGCCCUAGGGUUGUAAAGCUCUUUUGUGCGGGAAGAUAAUGACGGUACCGCAAGAAUAAGCCCCGGCUAACUUCGUGCCAGCCGCCGCCGUAACAC